AUUGCCUUAGUAACGGCGAGUGAAGCGGCAAAAGCUCAAAUUUGAAAUCUGGUACCUUCGGUGCCCGAGUUGUAAUUUGGAGAGGGCAACUUUGGGGCCGUUCCUUGUCUAUGUUCCUUGGAACAGGACGUCAUAGAGGGUGAGAAUCCCGUGUGGCGAGGAGUGCGGUUCUUUGUAAAGUGCCUUCGAAGAGUCGAGUUGUUUGGGAAUGCAGCUCUAAGUGGGUGGUAAAUUCCAUCUAAAGCUAAAUAUUGGCGAGAGACCGAUAGCGAACAAGUACAGUGAUGGAAAGAUGAAAAGAACUUUGAAAAGAGAGUGAAAAAGUACGUGAAAUUGUUGAAAGGGAAGGGCAUUUGAUCAGACAUGGUGUUUUGUGCCCUCUGCUCCUUGUGGGUAGGGGAAUCUCG
rnacentral:rRNA from 1 species